rnacentral:rRNA from 1 species
GAUGAACGCUGGCGGCGUGCUUAACACAUGCAAGUCGAACGAAGCAUAAGGAAGCGAUUUCUUCGGAAUGAAUGAACUUAUGACUGAGUGGCGGACGGGUGAGUAACGCGUGGGUAACCUACCUCAUACAGGGGGAUAACAGUUAGAAAUGACUGCUAAUACCGCAUAAGCGCACAGAACCACAUGGUUCGGUGUGAAAAACUCCGGUGGUAUGAGAUGGACCCGCGUCUGAUUAGCUAGUUGGUAAGGUAAUGGCUUACCAAGGCGACGAUCAGUAGCCGACCUGAGAGGGUGAUCGGCCACAUUGGGACUGAGACACGGCCCAAACUCCUACGGGAGGCAGCAGUGGGGAAUAUUGCACAAUGGGGGAAACCCUGAUGCAGCGACGCCGCGUGAAGGAUGAAGUGUUUCGGCAUGUAAACUUCUAUCAGCAGGGAAGAAAAUGACGGUACCUGACUAAGAAGCUCCGGCUAACUACGUGCCAGCAGCCGCAGUAA